UGGGGAAUAUUGGACAAUGGGCGAAAGCCUGAUCCAGCCAUGCCGCCUGUGUGAAGAAGGUCUUCGGAUUGUAAAGCACUUUAAGUUGGGAGGAAGGGCAUUAACCUAAUACGUUAGUGUUUUGACGUUACCGACAGAAUAAGCACCGGCUAACUCUGUGCCAGCAGCCGCGGUAAUACAGAGGGUGCAAGCGUUAAUCGGAAUUACUGGGCGUAAAGCGCGCGUAGGUGGUUUGUUAAGUUGGAUGUGAAAUCCCCGGGCUCAACCUGGGAACUGCAUUCAAAACUGACUGACUAGAGUAUGGUAGAGGGUGGUGGAAGUUCCUGUGUAGCGGUGAAAUGCGUAGAUAUAGGAAGGAACACCAGUGGCGAAGGCGACCACCUGGACUAAUACUGACACUGAGGUGCGAAAGC
rnacentral:rRNA from 1 species